AUUGAACGCUGGCGGCAGGCCUAACACAUGCAAGUCGAACGAGUGGCGGACGGGUGAGUCAUGUCUGGGAAACUGCCUGAUGGUGGGGGAUAACUACUGGAAAAGGUAGCUAAUACCGCAUACCAUCAGAUGUGCCCAGAUGGGAUUAGCUUGUGGGGGGGGUAACGGCUCACCAAGGCGACGAUCCCUAGCUGGUCUGAGAGGAUGACCAGCAACAAUGGAAAUGGGACAUGGUCAAGACUCCUACGCGAGGCAGCAGUGGGGAAUAUGGCACAAUGGGCGCAAGCCUGAGGCAGCCAUGCCGCUUGUAUGAAGAAGGCCUUAGGGUUGUAAAGUACUUUCAGCUGGGAGGCGUGACCCGCAGAAGAAGCACCGGCUAACUCCGUGCCAGCAGCCGCGGUAAUAC
rnacentral:rRNA from 1 species